rnacentral:tRNA from 1 species
GCCGGCGUAGCUCAGUUGGUAGAGCAACUGAUUUGUAAUCAGUAGGUCGCGGGUUCGAGUCCCAUCGCCGGCUCCA